rnacentral:rRNA from 1 species
CAAGUCGAACGAGGUCCAUGCAGUAGCAAUACUGCGGAAGACCUAGUGGCGAACGGGUGAGUAUCACGUGAGAAACCAACCCCGGUCUUUGGGAUAACAGUUGGAAACGACUGCUAAUACCGAAUGCCGUCGUUGCCUCGCAUGGGGCGAUGACGAAAGGGCUACCGGAUCGGGACGGUCUCGCGGCCUAUCAGCUUGUUGGGGAGGUAACGGCUCACCAAGGCUUCGACGGGUAGCUGGUCUGAGAGGAUGAUCAGCCACACUGGGACUGAGACACGGCCCAGACUCCUACGGGAGGCAGCAGUGGGGAAUCUUGCGCAAUGGGCGAAAGCCUGACGCAGCAACGCCGCGUGCGGGAUGAAGGCCUUCGGGUUGUAAACCGCUUUUACCAGGAACGAAAAUGACGGUACCUGGAGAAUAAGGUGCGGCCAACUACGUGCCAGCAGCCGCGGUGACACGUAGGCACCAAGCGUUGUCCGGAUUUAUUGGGCGUAAAGAGCUCGUAGGCGGUUCAGUAAGUCGGGUGUGAAAACUCUGGGCUUAACCCAGAGACGCCACUCGAUACUACUGUGACUAGAGUUCGGUAGGGGAGCAGGGAAUUCCUGGUGUAGCGGUGAAAUGCGCAGAUAUCAGGAGGAACACCGAUGGCGAAGGCACUGCUCUGGGCCGAAACUGACGCUGAGGAGCGAAAGCGUGGGUAGCAAACAGGAUUAGAUACCCUGGUAGUCCACGCCGUAAACGGUGGGCACUAGGUGUGGGUUCCAACCAACGGAAUCCGCGCCGUCGCUAACGCAUUAAGUGCCCCGCCUGGGGAGUACGGCCGCAAGGUUAAAACUCAAAGGAAUUGACGG